UACGAAGGGGGCUAGCGUUGCUCGGAAUCACUGGGCGUAAAGGGUGCGUAGGCGGGUUUUUAAGUCAGAGGUGAAAUCCUGGAGCUCAACUCCAGAACUGCCUUUGAUACUGAAAGUCUUGAGUAUGGGAGAGGUGAGUGGAACUGCGAGUGUAGAGGUGAAAUUCGUAGAUAUUCGCAAGAACACCAGUGGCGAAGGCGGCUCACUGGCCCAUAACUGAUGCUGAGGCACGAAAGCGUGGGGAGCAAACAGG
rnacentral:rRNA from 1 species